rnacentral:snoRNA from 1 species
AAUCUUCAAUUGACAUGAUGAGAACUAUUUUGAACCUUCAAUCAAUUAGGAAGAGCCGGAAAAGGUAUGGCAAUGAACCAUUUCCUUCAAAAAUAAAGAUUUGGUUCUUGUCGUCGGUGCUUAGAAUUGGUUCUGCUGAAGAAGAAGAUUUC